rnacentral:rRNA from 1 species
UACGUAGGGGGCAAGCGUUGUCCGGAUUUAUUGGGCGUAAAGAGCGUGUAGGCGGCCAGGUAGGUCCGUUGUGAAAACUGGAGGCUUAACCUCCAGCUGUCGAUGGAAACCAUCUGGCUAGAGUCCGGAAGAGGAGAGUGGAAUUCCUGGUGUAGCGGUGAAAUGCGCAGAUAUCAGGAAGAACACCCGUGGCGAAGGCGGCUCUCUGGGACGGUACUGACGCUGAGACGCGAAAAGCGUGGGGGAGCGAACAGG